GUGAGGGGAGGUAGAAGAGACAGAGACAGGAUAAAAUAAGACUAAGAAGAUUAAUCGAAUGCUAUCUACAUAUGGUUAUGAGGAAAGCUUAGAACGGAACUGAAUAAUUAAGAGUUGGAGAAAACAAGAAGUCACAAAACAGGAACUCUUCUGAAAUACAAGCCGCUAAAUGGUUUGACUUGAGACCACGUUGCUCCAAUAACACUGGAGUGAGUAAGAGUUGCGCUGGGUUUUCUAAGAACAAGCAGGUGUCCCAGAAAGUUAAUUUUCAUUGCUUGGGGUUGAGGUUCAUGAGCUGCCUUAUGAUUCUGGGUGACUGUCACAGGGACAAGUACAGUGAAAGUAGGGAAAACAAGCUUCCUGAGGAAUCCGUCAAACCUUCAGGUGCAUUAGUCCUUUGUGGCUUUGUUGGCUUCUGCAGAAAACCAGGGACCUGCAUCAGGCUGGACUCUGAUUUGGUUCUGUGAGAAACGAACGGGAGAUUGGGGUGGGGGGCGGGUUUGCAAAAGCAAAUGUUCUGACAUGAAUUGCUGCCCUAAAGGGGCCUGGCCACCAGGUUGUUUCACAUAAAGCUCUAAACAGUUACCAGAUGAGCAAUAAAAGCAACUUCCCAGAACAGCAGAUCAGCUGCAAGCUUGAGUCAGUGCAUUUUCAGCAUACGGAGCCAUGGAGUAGAAACCUUCCCCACCCCCAAGUUGUCCUUACCUGGAACAGUUUGUUUCUGCUAUUGUGUUUUGGUCAAAUGAACAGGGGGGGGGGGGAAAUGCUAGCCAUUUAGGAUGUGGCUUUGAAGAGGGGUGUGUACAUCAG